CAAAGGACCUAAUAGUUCUAAUAAGGAAUGUGAUUUGAUUUUUUCAGGAAAGAUGUGAGGAACCUAAGGAAUCUACAUAAGAGGAUGCCUCCUCAUUCUGGAAACCUGUCAAAAAAUAAUAAGACAAAGGCUGUUCUUACUGGCUCAACAUGGUCCAGGGAGUCUGCCUGUGGUUAUUGUACCAUCCUGGCUUGUUGACUGGACCUGCAUGCUGCUGUGAGGAUGAGAUGGUUGCCUAGUCUAUUCUACUGUUGCUAUUGCUCCUGCUUUGCCACCCUGGGACUUGUGGUCCCUGUCAGACUGCAAUACUUGUCACGCUCGAGUAUAUGGAAAAGAAGUUUUGCAUGUCCUGAGACUUCAGCAUGAACCCAGUAACCUGAAACUCUCUGUGACCAAUGGAGAAAAAAUUAGUUCUAUAAGCAUGAGCCAUGAUGAUGACUUUUUUUCUUUUACUGUAGAGAGAACAUAAUGCAAACAUGCACAUUAUUGUCACUUUUUAGAGUUAGAUAUAGAUCUCACCUUAAAUACUAUCCAAACUCCUGUCAGUUUGGUGUAAGGCUUGCCCUUAACUUUCAGAAUCUGUGAAUUAUGUUCCUAAUAAGUCAUCUUAGGUAAGACUAUUGAGUAAAAUACUUCUCCCUGUGCUAGAAAGUGUUUUAAUUGUAUGAGGGAUGAAAUAGUUAGGAAAUACUACUUUUCAAAGCAGAAUGUUAAUGUAGCUUAGGAUAACUGUAAAUAAAAACAUGUAACAACGAACA
rnacentral:lncRNA from 1 species